ensembl:piRNA 21ur-4031 ncRNA
UGGACACAACACAAGAACCAA